rnacentral:rRNA from 1 species
AUAGAGACUCAGAGCUGCAUAUCAAUAAGCGGAGGAAAAGAAACUAACAAGGAUUCCCUAGUAACGGCGAGUGAAGCGGGAAGAGCUCAAAUUUGAAAUCUUAAAGGGUUUCCCUUGACGAAUUGUAGUUUAUAGAAGUGUUUUCUGUUAGUGGAGUUCGGUAAAAGUUCUUUGGAAUAGGACAUCAUAGAGGGUGAGAAUCCCGUAUUUGACCGUUACUUUCCUAGCUGUGUGAUACACUUUCAAAGAGUCGGAUUGUUUGGGAAUGCAGUCCAAAAUGGGUGGUAAAUUUCAUCUAAAGCUAAAUAUUGGCGAGAGACCGAUAGCGAACAAGUACCGUGAGGGAAAGAUGAAAAGAACUUUGAAAAGAGAGUUAAACAGUACGUGAAAUUGUCAAAAGGGAAGCGUUUGACACCAGUGUUGUUUUCUCGAAAAUCAAUUAAGAAUGACCUGAUUUUGUGUAGGUAUUGACUUUAUCAGGCUUUCUGCACUUUUUACUUGUAACUUUCUUAAUGCACUUUUCGGUUAACAAGUCAACAUCAAUUUCUUUUGUUGUAAAAGAGUCAUUGGAAGGUGGCUUUCACUUUCGGAUGAAAGUGUUUAUAGCCUUUGACUUCUGCAAUCGGAGAGAUUGAGGUCUGCAGCGUAGAUCCUUCGGGGUUAGAUACAUUUGUGCUAAGUUAUAGCCUUUUCAUAGACAACAUGUUGACUAUGAUUAAGUCAUGUAGCUUACUCGCUUAUGCUAUUUUACCUACGCUUAGGAUGUUGAAGAUAUGCGCGACACG